rnacentral:rRNA from 1 species
GAUGAACGCUGGCGGCGUGCCUAAUACAUGCAAGUCGAGCGAACGGACGAGAAGCUUGCUUCUCUGAUGUUAGCGGCGGACGGGUGAGUAACACGUGGAUAACCUACCUCUAAGACUGGGAUAACUUCGGGAAACCGGAGCUAAUACCGGAUAAUAUUUUGAACCGCAUGGUUCAAAAGUAAAAGACGGUCUUGCUGUCACUUAUAGAUGGAUCCGCGCUGCAUUAGCUAGUUGGUAAGGUAACGGCUUACCAAGGCAACGAUGCAUAGCCGACCUGAGAGGGUGAUCGGCCACACUGGAACUGAGACACGGUCCAGACUCCUACGGGAGGCAGCAGUAGGGAAUCUUCCGCAAUGGGCGAAAGCCUGACGGAGCAACGCCGCGUGAGUGAUGAAGGUCUUCGGAUCGUAAAACUCUGUUAUUAGGGAAGAACAUAUGUGUAAGUAACUGUGCACAUCUUGACGGUACCUAAUCAGAAAGCCACGGCUAACUACGUG